rnacentral:rRNA from 1 species
CAGCCGCCACGGGAAUACGAAGGGUGCAAGCGUUACUCGGAAUUACUGGGCGUAAAGCGUGCGUAGGUGGUGGUUUAAGUCCGUUGUGAAAGCCCUGGGCUCAACCUGGGAAUCGCAGUGGAUACUGGCUCGCUAGAGUGUGUCAGAGGAUGGUGGAAUUCCCGGUGUAGCGGUGAAAUGCGUAGAGAUCGGGAGGAACAUCAGUGGCGAAGGCGGCCAACUAGGACAACACUGACGCGGAGGCACGAAAGCGUGGGGAGCAAACAGGAUUAGAUACCCCCGUAGUCCCUGUCUCUUAUAC